GGGAUUUUUGGUUGUGAAUUCAAGUCAUUUUAGCAAGAUCAAAGUGAAUUUUCUUUAAGGUAAUUCUUGGCUUUAAUCUCUUACUUGUUUUUCUUGAAAAAAAUGAUGAAAAUGGAUGAAAAUGCAUGUAGUUUUGGAUGUUGUUGGCUGCUGUGUUUUGUGAUUAUUUUGUGUGAUUCAAGCAUGUUAAAUUGAUAGGAAUUAAGCUAUGUUGAAGCAUGUAGGUUAGAUUGUUAAGCUUUUAGUUUUUAUGUGAAAAAGUAUGAAUUUUGGAAGGAAAAUGUUGUGAUUAUGUUCUGUGUUGUUGCUGCUGUUCUUGUUAGUUUGCAGAGGUGAUAUUAUGCUUAGUUAUGUUGAAUUAAGUUGGUUUGCAUGCUUGUUUAGGUGGUUUGCUCAAGCUUGAGUUUGGAACUCAAAGCUUGAGCUCCAAUGGCAAAUUUUGUAUUUGUGGUUUCUGGGUAGGUUUGUUGCCUUGGAUUUGUUCUUUAGGGUAUUUAGAACAGGUCUGGAAAGUUUGGGACCAAUUGGGGUCGAAUUGGUCAAGUUAUGAGAUUUUAUGGUUGCUGCCUGCGAGGAACCGGAAUUCCGGUUGAGCAUCCGGAAUUCCGGAUGGGGGUUCAGAAUUUCCCAGAACCGGAAUUCCGGUUGGGCAACCGGUCUGCCGGUUGGGGAUUUUUCAGAACCCUAGUUUUCCUCGUUUUUGGGUUUUUAGGGGUAUUGCCAUGCUUUUUAUCGAUAGGGAAACUUUUAGUUUCAAGUUUUAGUCCCCGGGAAGUGAUUUAGCGUGUCACUUAUAGCGUUGUGAUUUUUAUGGUUUAGGAGCCAGUAAUCCGCCGUUCAGCUUCAGUUCCAGUCAGGUUGACCGGCACACCUGAAAUCGGAAUCCAGGUAAAGGCAAGGCUGUAGCUGAUGGACCGUGACCGAGCAUAUGAGAUUGUACAUGUCGGGGCGGUUAGGCCUGGAGCGUACGAUCCUCGGGACAGCAGGGCUGAGAUUUUUGUAACUGUCGUUAGACGACUUUCUUUUUGUUGUAAAAGUUAAACAGUUAAAACGUUUGUAAAUAUUUUAUAAAUCGGGAUCCCGAGACUUUUGUAAAACGGUUUAUAAGUUUAAUGAAAAAGCAAAAUUUUAAUUAA